CACAUUAUGCAUUCACCUGGAUGUGCGCUCCCGUCGAGAUCUAGUUCCUGUUCGCGAGAGCAUCCACAACCCCGACAGCCGACGCCGUCGAAUGUUUGUUUCGACCCCUCCCCCCGACGGGAGACUGGCAACGGAUCCGCCAUUUUCCUCAUUAUUUCGAUCUGCUCUGAGGAGGAUUAAUUCGAAGGACGAGUCGACUUAUUACCGUUAAAGAACCGUGUUUCAUCGAUCCUCGGAGAAGAACCAUGCUUUGUUGUUCGAGGAAAUUUUGAAGGAGGGGAGGGAAGAAGGGGAGGGGAGAGUACCUUCAUUUUUUUUUUUUUUAAGGAUGAUUGCAAAAAGAAAAUCAAAAAGCUGCUACGAUUGGGUGAUCCUGUUUCGGUUGAAAUCGAAGGGCUUUCCGUAUCAGGAUUCCAUAGGUGGGGGCGUGCAACCUUACCGAUGGAGCGGAAAGGAGGAAGCUGAACGUCUGCAGGAUCAAGCUUGAGCUAUCCUGGAUUUAAACGGAGCGUAAGGAGUUUUGAUAUCAGGAGCUCAUAAGGACAAUGGGAAGUUCGCCCGCGACUAUCUUCCAAGAUUCCUGAUAAUCAAUCCUUGUAAAGGAAUAUUAAUAUCCAUUCUGAAUAAUCUUUCGAAUUAUUUAUAUGAAUAUCAUAAAAGAUUUUCUUCGA